GGACAAGGAAAGGUUAGACGUUAUGUUAUUGUAAAUGUACGAAACACAUGACAGGUUCGUUAAGUUUGAUAAGAUUUCUUUUUUCAUUUUGUUUCAUUCUUUCAUUUUCUCCAGUUUUACAGACCUCAUGUAAAUAUUUCCUUUGUUAUUUUUCAGAAUGCUGAAAACACCGUACACAGAAGAUUUUCAAAUAUGAAGAGAUAGUAGACAGGAGAGUUGUAAAUGAAAAAGAAGAAGUUAAAGUCAAGUGGAAGCCCUGCUCAACAUGCAGGUUCUGAAGGAUCGUGGCUGCUGCUGUGGUCCUGCUUGACGUCUGCUUCAUAUAUUAAUACUCUCUGACUUGAUUUGAUUCAUUUAUAUUACAAUGAAGUGGCAAAGUGUGGGAUGACACAUGGGAACCUGCGCAGUUUUACACACAGUAAACCAGGCACCACAGGUCGCAGAGAUCGCACAGUUCACAGUUUGUAGUUCAGCAUAAAAGUUCAAAAUAAGAUAUUUACUGUACAAUUCUAACCAGUGUCAGUCUCUGUUUCACUCUCUAACUGUGGCUUAAGUACAUAAAACACUCAUGAAUCUGAUCCAUCAAUAAUAUCUUCCCAGCACUCGAUAUCUCAUAGUUUUACAUAUCAGCCAACAUUAUUGUCUACAUGCUCAUAAAUAUAGAAGUGACUUGGCUAUUGUAACAUAUUGCAAGUUAAAGCAAUACUGCACUGCACGUAAAGUAAGUAACAUCUUGUAUGAGGUGAUUAGGGUCAGCAGUGCUGUGUAUGGGAGCCUAAAGCAAAGCUAACUGCACCAGUACCAGCUUCACAACAUGUUGUAUAUUAUACGUUUCUACCUGUUUGUAAUAUGUCAUCUGUCAUGUUUAGAUGCAGUGACAAUUGCACAUUUGGAGUCGUGGUCAUAUGUGGUUUUUAUAUACAGGGUAUUAUUUUUUUCUUUUAAUUGUCAUUUUUUUCUAUUAUUCUUGUUUGUUUGCACAUCAUUAUUGUGUGCAUAUUGCAUAUGUAACAUUACUUUUAUUGUUAA
ensembl:lncRNA